rnacentral:rRNA from 1 species
GACAGAGGUGCCAAGCGUUAGGCGGAAUCACUGGGCUUAAAGCGUGUGUAGGCGGGUCGUUAAGUGUCUUGUGAAAUCCCCCGGCUCAACCGGGGAAUGGCUGGGCAUACUGGCGAUCUUGAGCAGUUCAGGGGCAGAUGGAACAAGUGGUGGAGCGGUGAAAUGCGUAGAUAUCACUUGGAACGCCAAAGGUGAAAACAGUCUGCUGGGAACUUGCUGACGCUGAGACACGAAAGCCAGGGGAGCAAACGGG